rnacentral:rRNA from 1 species
GCGCGAAACCUCUGCAAUAGGCGAAAGCCUGACAGGGUUACUCUGAGUGAUUCCCGCUAAGGGGAUCUUUUGGCACCUCUAAAAAUGGUGCAGAAUAAGGGGUGGGCAAGCCUGGUGUCAGCCGCCGCGGUAAUACCAGCACCCCGAGUGGUCGGGACGAUUAUUGGGCCUAAAGCAUCCGUAGCCGGCCACGCAAGUCCUCCGUUAAAUCCAGCCGCUCAACGGUUGGGCUGCGGAGGAUACUACGUGACUAGGAGGCGGGAGAGGCAAGCGGUACUCAAUGGGUAGGGGUAAAAUCCUUUGAUCCAUUGAAGACCACCAGUGGCGAAGGCGGCUUGCCAGAACGCGCUCGACGGUGAGGGAUGAAAGCUGGGGGAGCAAACCGGAUUAGAUACCCGGGUAGUCCCAGCUGUAAACGAUGCAGACUCGGUGAUGGGAUGGCCUCGAGCCAUCCCAGUGCCGCAGGGAA